GACUAGACCAGUGGAAAUUUCGUCGAAUUUUAUGUAUUUUUGUUGUUCUUCUUGUUCUUUCUCUGCCCUUAUUUAUGGAAGGAGACGAGUCAUAACAUUCGUUAUCAUAACUCGAAGAAUCAUACCCGUAUUUGU
rnacentral:ribozyme from 14 species